rnacentral:rRNA from 1 species
UUCAAUUGCCGGCGACGGCGCACGGGUGCGUAACGCGUAUGUACCUACCUAUAACAGGGGCAUAACACUGAGAAAUGGUACUAAUUCCCCAUAAUAUUCGGAGAGGCAUCUCUCCGGGUUGAAAACUCCGGUGGUUAUAGAUGGACAUGCGUUGUAUUAGCUAGUUGGUGAGGUAACGGCUCACCAAGGCAACGAUACAUAGGGGGACUGAGAGGUUAACCCCCCACACUGGUACUGAGACACGGACCAGACUCCUACGGGAGGCAGCAGUGAGGAAUAUUGGUCAAUGGACGCAAGUCUGAACCAGCCAUGCCGCGUGCAGGAAGACGGCUCUAUGAGUUGUAAACUGCUUUUGUACGAGGGUAAACUCACCUACGUGUAGGUGACUGAAAGUAUCGUACGAAUAAGGAUCGGCUAACUCCGUGCCAGCAGCCGCGGUAAUACGGAGGAUUCAAGCGUUAUCCGGAUUUAUUGGGUUUAAAGGGUGCGUAGGCGGUUUGAUAAGUUAGAGGUGAAAUCCCGGGGCUUAACUCCGGAACUGCCUCUAAUACUGUUAGACUAGAGAGUAGUUGCGGUAGGCGGAAUGUAUGGUGUAGCGGUGAAAUGCUUAGAGAUCAUACAGAACACCGAUUGCGAAGGCAGCUUACCAAACUAUAUC